UACAGAGGUCCCAAGCGUUGUUCGGAUUUACUGGCGUAAAGCGUGCGUAGGCGGUUCGCUAAGUCGGUUGUGAAAUCCCUGGGCUUAAACCUGGGAACUGCAGUCGAUACUGGUGGACUAGAGUACGGUAGAGGGUGGCGGAACUCCGGGUGUAGCGGUGAAAUGCGUAGAUAUCCGGAAGAACACCGAUGGCGAAGGCAACCACCUGGGCCUGUACUGAACGCUGAGGUACGAAAGCGUGGGGGAGCAAACAGG
rnacentral:rRNA from 1 species